GGAGUUAGCCGGUGCUUCUUCUGUGAGUGAUGUCCUUCCUGCCGGCUAUUAACCCGCAGGCCUUCUUCCUCACUGAAAGUGCUUUACAACCCGAAGGCCUUCUUCACACACGCGGCAUGGCUGGAUCAGGGUUGCCCCCAUUGUCCAAUAUUCCCCACUGCUGCCUCCCGUAGGAGUCUGGGCCGUGUCUCAGUCCCAGUGUGGCUGAUCAUCCUCUCAGACCAGCUACGGAUCGUCGCCUUGGUGAGCCGUUACCUCACCAACCAGCUAAUCCGACAUAGGCUCAUCCGAUAGCGCGAGGCCCGAAGGUCCCCCGCUUUCCCCCGUAGGGCGUAUGCGGUAUUAGCCUGGGUUUCCCCAGGUUAUCCCCCACUACCCGGGCAGAUUCCUAUGCAUUACUCACCCGUCCGCCGCUCGCCACCAGGGAGCAAGCUCCCCGUGCUGCCGCUCGACUUGCAUGUGUUAGGCCUGCCGCCAGCGUUCAAUCUGAGCCAGGAUCAAACUCUGA
rnacentral:rRNA from 1 species